rnacentral:rRNA from 1 species
AAGAACGAACGCUGGCGGCAUGCCUAACACAUGCAAGUCGAACGAGACCUUCGGGUCUAGUGGCGCACGGGUGCGUAACGCGUGGGAACCUGCCUUUAGGUUCGGAAUAACUCAGAGAAAUUUGAGCUAAUACCGGAUAAUGUCUUCGGACCAAAGAUUUAUCGCCUUUAGAUGGGCCCGCGUUGGAUUAGCUAGUUGGUGGGGUAAAGGCCUACCAAGGCGACGAUCCAUAGCUGGUCUGAGAGGAUGAUCAGCCACACUGGGACUGAGACACGGCCCAGACUCCUACGGGAGGCAGCAGUGGGGAAUAUUGGACAAUGGGCGAAAGCCUGAUCCAGCAAUGCCGCGUGAGUGAUGAAGGCCUUAGGGUUGUAAAGCUCUUUACCCGAGAUGAUAAUGACAGUAUCGGGAGAAUAAGCUCCGGCUAACUCCGUG